rnacentral:rRNA from 1 species
UACAGAGGUCCCAAGCGUUGUUCGGAUUCACUGGGCGUAAAGGGUGCGUAGGUGGUGAGGUAAGUCGGAUGUGAAAGCUCGGAGCUCAACUCCGAAAUGGCAUUGGAAACUACCUUGCUCGAGGGUUGGAGGGGGGACUGGAAUGCUUGGUGUAGCAGUGAAAUGCGUAGAUAUCAAGCGGAACACCAGUGGCGAAGGCGGGUCUCUGGGCAGUAACUGACGCUGAGGAGCGAAAAGCGUGGGGGAGCGAACAGG